CUACGGGUCGCACCAGUCGAGAAUCUUCCGCAAUGGACGAAAGUCUGACGGAGCGACGCCGCGUGCGGGAUGAAGGCCUUCGGGUUGUAAACCGCUGUCAGUGGGGAGGAAAUGCAUCAGGGUUCUCCCUGGUGUUUGACCGAUCCGCAGAGGAAGCGCAGGCUAAGAUCGUGCCAGCAGCCGCGGUAACACGAACUGCGCGAACGUUAUUCGGAAUCACUGGGCUUAAAGAGUUCGUAGGCGGCCUUUCAAGUCGGGUGUGAAAUCCCUCGGCUCAACCGAGGAAUUGCGCCUGAUACUGUUGGGCUUGAGGGGGAUAGGGGUGAGCGGAACUGAUGGUGGAGCGGUGAAAUGCGUUGAUAUCAUCAGGAACACCGGUGGCGAAGGCGGCUCACUGGAUCUCUUCUGACGCUGAGGAACGAAAGCUAGGGGAGCGAACGGGAUUAGAUACCCCCGUAGUC
rnacentral:rRNA from 1 species